AGGCCUGCUGGGCUCCCGACGCUCGCGGGAGCAGCGGGAAACCAGGUUCCGGGAGUGGGGCGAGGACGCCCCUGCCAAGCCCCUUUUACGUCCCGGCGGUCGCGAGGAGGUCCCCCGGGCGCGAAGAAGACGCCAGCCCACCCCAGCCGCCGGGGAGAUCGCCCAGGCCGCGCUCAGCCCCGCCCCUGGCUCUGCCCCCGCCGCGGAGCGGAACCCUCCAAGUCGCGGCCUGAGGAGGAAGGAAAAGGGGGCGGCCCGGGAGAGCCGCUGCGAAAUCAGCAACGGGCGGGAACCAGGUUGCCUCCCUGAGUCCCUUCUCUCCCCGGCCGGCUGCCAACCACAGCCAAGGCCAGAGAAACAGGCCCUUCUGCCGCGGCCACCUGGGCGCCUUGGACCCGCCCUCCGGACUCGCCCCCGCCCCUGCCGCGGAGUGGAACGUUUGGAACCCUGAGGGGCACAGCUCCUCUAGCAAUUCCGAUGUGAAAAGAAGAUGGAUGGAGAAGCACUGAUUCAGCCAUGGCUGACAUGUCGGAGUUGGAAUGGACAGUGCCCGGACCUCACAGUCUCAGAGAACUGGAGAAGAGUAAAGCUGAAGAGGGCAUCAUCUGGUUACAAAUGACAAGUCCAGGGCUCCAGCUUUGACCGCACCAUGUAACUUCAAAAUCGGUACCCAUUUCUGAACGCCCAUUCAAAAGCAAUUGGGUUAGCAAGAAGAAACAGGUCAACAAUAGAAUCCCCAAGGAAAAGAAAGUAUCUGAAGAAAAGAGAGCUCCAAGUGGGAGUGAGGAGUUAAAAACAAAACAAAACAAACAAAAAAGAAUAAAGUUGGUAUGGGGAUGGGAAUUUGCAAUGAAGGAGGGAAAAUAGGAAAGAAAAAAAAACCCAAGCUAACAUGUUCCUCAUUUCUACAACAUUAUCUCAUAGAAAUAGCAUUACUCACCUGACCGCGAGUUCAGAAAACAAAGUGGAGAACCUCUGUGCACACCUGAAAAUGAAAAAUAAAAAAUAAAAAGCAAAAUUAGACCAAUGGAAAGUGGACUUUCUUGACAGCAUAAUACUUCAAUACUGCAGUGAGCUCAUCAGCCGACGCCCCCUGGGCUCCCUACUGCACGUCACAGCUUGAACUUGGCAGUGGAGUUACAGAAAAAAUGGAUGUAAACCCUGCUGCUGAGGAACUUAUAUAUAAACUGGAAGCACAAGCCCAAAGCCAGUUUGGGGACUGAUCUUGUUAAUGUGUUUUGUUUUGUUUUGUUUUGUUUUGAGACGGAGUCUCACUCUGUCACCCAGGCUGGAGUGCAGUGGCAUGAUCUCGGCUCACUGCAGCCUCUACCUCCCAGGUUCAAGCAAUUCUCUGGCCUCAGCCUCCUGAGCAGCUGGUAU
rnacentral:lncRNA from 10 species